rnacentral:rRNA from 1 species
CGGGGCGCUCCACCAGUGAGGAAUAUUGCACAAUGGGGGGAACCCUGAUGCAGCAACGCCGCGUGGAGGACGACGCAUUUCGGUGUGUAAACUCCUUUUAUAUGUCAAGAAAAUGACGGUAGCAUAUGAAUAAGCACCGGCUAACUCCGUGCCAGCAGCCGCGGUAAUACGGAGGGUGCAAGCGUUACUCGGAAUCACUGGGCGUAAAGGACGCGUAGGCGGGUUGGAAAGUCAGGUGUAAAAUCCUACAGCUUAACUGUAGAACUGCACUUGAAACUUCUAAUCUAGAGUAUGGGAGAGGGAGAUGGAAUUAGUGGUGUAGGGGUAAAAUCCGUAGAUAUCACUAGGAAUACCUAAAGCGAAGGCGAUCUCCUGGAACAUUACUGACGCUAAGGCGUGAAAGCGUGGGGAGCAAACAGGAUUAGAUACCCCAGUAGUC